CUCACCAUUCAGAUGAGAAAAUGGACAGUCAGAGAAGUGAAGUCACUUUGCCAAGGUUUAGGGCUCUGUACGGACUUAGAGCCUGUGCUAUUAAUUACCAAGCAGCACCGAUAGGGAAAAGUGGCAUCGAUUUUGGUUUAGGGAGACAUAUAACGGGAAGUGAUAGCUAGUGAUGCUUUGGUGAACUUUCAAUUAUGUGACUCUAGAGCUGGAAGGGACUGACAGGACCAUCGAGAACUUGCUCAAGGACAUGACCUUGAAUGAGUUGAAAAGUUGGAACAAGAAUGCUGGGCUUCUGAUUCUAGGAGGUCCCAAUAAUUCCUCACUUUCUGUAUAAUAAAAAUAAUAAUGAUGACAAAACUAUAAUGCUUUAAUUUUAAUUUUAUUUAUUUUUAGCAGGCAGAUAACAUUUUUAGAGCUUUUUUUAGUUCUCCAAAUGUUUCCACUUAUUUAAAUCUGCAACUUAACAAUGGGCUAUAAUUGGCCAAAGAGGCAAGGGCCUGGGCUCCUCCAGGUGAAGAGGAGUUUCACCUUGACGAACAGGAACUGUCUCAGCAGCCAUGUUUCUUACCACAGUGGGUUGUUUUUAGCCUGGAUCCCACUCAUUAAGAUUGACUAGAAGGAGCAGACUAUAACUCUCUUGGUCAGCACCCUGAGGCAGAGAACACAGCUUUCAGAAUCAGGACACAAAGGACUGGAGGUAAAGAGCAGAACUUCUGCAUGCAGGAAAUACAAAGGAGCCAUUUCCAAGGCUGAACAAUGGACCUGCUUCUGGAAAUGUGAAGUCAGGAAAGAGGAAGUCUCCAGGCACUGAAAUAACAAGAGACGUCUUGAAGGCAGAGUCCCUGUUGCCUUUAGUUGAGAGAUGGCAGCAGCCGCCUCCAGGAAUAGCACGUAUAACUGCAGAGACAUCCUUUUGGAUGGGAGCGGCGAAGACCCAUGGUUGACAGAAGAGUUGCGUAAUGGUUCGGUAUUUAACUCUCCCUGGAAUGGCUUCAAGAGGGAGCUAUGUGCGGAGUGAACUUGUGGAUAAAUAACUCUGGCACACAGCUCUGCACCAUCUGCAGACAUUGCAGAAAUGAGCAGGGGAAGCCAACGAACUGUGAGUGACAGAGAUUAAUCUUCAAAGUCACAAAGGCAUGUAGUUCUCUUUGGAAUUCAGGCAACACUGGAGAGCCUCACAGCCCCGGAACAUUUCUUUGAGGCAAUGAAGACAUUUAUCAGCCAUAACUCUCAGGUGACUGCGUGUCCUAGAAUCCUUGAUACCGCCAAAUCAAAUGAUUCCAGAAGAAAGACACUUCCUUUUAAACGUUGGAGAGGUAGGAAGAUGAUUAUGCUCAAUUCUUCACUUUAAAUGACUCACCAUGAUGCCUUAGAUGAAGCUGACCUACCACAUCCAGAGAGCAGGGAAGAAAUCAGAAGAGGUUGCCGUACCCCACAGGCUGCACUUCUUUCAGAUGGCAUACAGAGUCCCUGUUUGGGAAUUAUGCUUUUUGGAAUAUUUGCUUAUUGAUCAAUACACAUGUUUUUAUAAAACACAUAUUUAUUUACAAAAUAGUUCUGUUACAAAACAUUUUCAAAAAUAAAAUUCUGUCUAAA